rnacentral:SRP_RNA from 1 species
GCCAGGUGUGGUGGCGCUCGCCUGUAAUCCCAGCUACCAGGGAGGCUGAGGCAGGAGAAUUGCUUGAACCCAAGAAGUGGAAGGUGCAGUGAGCCGAUAUCGCACCACUGCACUCCAGCCUGGGUGACAAAGCAAGACUCUGUCUCAA